rnacentral:tRNA from 1 species
GCCCCGUUCGUCUAACGGCUCAGGACAGUGGACUUUCGAUCCGCAGAUAGGAGUUCGACUCUCCUACGGGGUG